UAGAACAUGAGAGCUGUGUAUCCGAAAAUCUUCGUUGGACUUAGAGGUAUCCUGAGUAGCGCGGGACACGUGAAAUCCUGUGUGAAUCUGCGGGGCCCAUCCCGUAAGGCUAAAUACUCCCGAGAGACCGAUAGUGAACCAGUACCGUGAGGGAAAGGUGAAAAGAACCUCGAACAGAGGAGUGCAAUAGAUCCUGAACCCGUCUGCCUACAAGCGGUAGGAGCAGCUUUUAGCUGUGACUGCGUGCCUUUUGCAUAAUGAACCUACGAGUUACUUUCUCUGGCAAGGUUAAGUGAUGAAGAGUCACGUGAGCCGAAGCGAAAGCGAGUCUGAAUAGGGCGAAUUAGUCAGAGGGAGUAGACGCGAAACCAAGUGAUCUACCCUUGGUCAGGUUGAAGGUUGGGUAAAACCAACUGGAGGACCGCACCGGUAAGCGUUGAAAAGCUUUCGGAUGAACUGAGGGUAGGGGUGAAAGGCUAAUCAAACUUGGAGAUAGCUCGUACUCCCCGAAAUGCAUUUAGGUGCAGCCUGUGGAGUUUCUUACGUGAGGUAGAGCGACUGAUUGGAUGCGAGGCUUUCACCGGCUAUCAAGUCCAGACAAACUCCGAAUGCACGUUAAGUAAGAUCCACGGAGUGAGGGCAUGGGUGCUAAGGUCCAUNNNNNNNNNNGAUGUUCACAGACAACCAGGAGGUUGGCUUGGAAGCAGCCAUUCAUUUAAAGAGUGCGUAACAGCUCACUAGUCGAGUGCUUUGGCGUGGAUAAUAAUCGGGCAUAAGCUAUUUACCGAAGCUGUGGGAUGUGUAAACAUCGGUAGGGGAGCAUUCUAGCGGCGCAGAAGGUGAGAGGACAACUCUUGCUGGAGCUUCUAGAAAAGCAAAUGUAGGUAUAAGUAACGAUAAAGGAGGUGAGAAACCUCCUCGCCGAAAGACUAAGGGUUCCUGAUCAACGCUAAUCGGAUCAGGGUUAGUCGGGGCCUAAGGGGAAGCCGAACGGCGUACCCGAUGGAAGAACCGGUUAAUAUUCCGGUACUAAUUAUGUGAGCGAUGUGGAGACGGAGAUGUGACGGUCCUGCCAACUGACGGAAUAGUUGGUUGAAGGGUGUAGGAGUUGAUCUGAGUAGGCAAAUCCGCUCGGAGAUCCGAACCUGACAGUACUCUGAGUGCUUGCACAAGGAGAUAUGGACAACUGUAACGGUGCUCCCAAGAAAAUCCGCUAAGCAUAUUGCAUGAUUACCCGUACCAUAAACCGACACAGGUGGUUGGGUUGAGUAUACUAAGGCGCUCGAGUGAUUCGCGGUUAAGGAACUAGGCAAAAUAGUCCUGUAACUUCGGAAUAAAGGACGCUCACAGUGAAGGCUGUGAGCCGCAGAGAAUAGGCCCAGGCGACUGUUUAACAAAAACACAUGGCUAUGCUAAAUCGAAAGAUACUGUAUAUAGCCUGACACCUGCCCGGUGCUGGAAGGUUAAGAGGAGAUGUCAUCGCAAGAGAAGCAUUGAAUUGAAGCCCCAGUAAACGGCGGCCGUAACUAUNNNNNNNNNNCCUAAGGUAGCGAAAUUCCUUGUCGGGUAAGUUCCGACCUGCACGAAUGGUGUAACGAUCUGGGUACUGUCUCAACCGCGAGCUCGGUGAAAUUGUAGUAUCGGUGAAGAUGCCGAUUACCCGCAACGGGACGAAAAGACCCCGUGAACCUUUACUAUAGCUUUGCAUUGGAUUUGGGUAACAAAUGUGUAGGAUAGGCCGGAGACUAUGAAGCGGGUACGCCAGUAUUCGUGGAGUCGCCGUUGAAAUACGGCCCUUUUGUUAUUUGGGUUCUAACUCGCGGAUGCGAGGACAUUGCAUGGUGGGUAGUUUGACUGGGGUGGUCGCC
rnacentral:rRNA from 1 species